AUUGAACGCUGGCGGCAUGCCUUACACAUGCAAGUCGAACGGUAACGGGCCUUCGGGUGCCGACGAGUGGCGGACGGGUGAGUAAUACAUCGGAACGUGCCCGAUCGUGGGGGAUAACGAGGCGAAAGCUUUGCUAAUACCGCAUAGGAUAUACGGAUGAAAGCCGGGGAGGGCAAGGGCUUGCGCGGACGGAGCGGCAGAGGGCAGAUUAGGUAGAUGGUGGGGUAAACGCUUAGCAAGCCGACGAGCUGUAGCUGGACUGGGAGGCUGAUGAGCCACACUGGGACUUAGACACGCCCCAGACUCCUACGGGAGGCAGCAGUGGGGAAUUUUGGACAAUGGGCGCAAGCCUUAUCCAGCCAUGCGGCGUGCAGGAUGAAGGCCUUCGGGUUGUAAACUGCUUUUGUACGGAACGAAAAGCCUUCUUUUAAUACAGGGGGGUCAUGACGGUACCGGAAGAAUAAGCACCGGCUAACUACGUG
rnacentral:rRNA from 1 species